AUCAGUGUGUGCGUGGGGAACGACCAGAGCAGGAAGAAAAAGGGUAAAACCCUAAACUCCACAAAAUCUUCUAAUUGAAGGUGCAAUUGAAGACCAAACUCGGAUUUGAAUACAUAUAAACGAUCACCGAGCUAAGGGGAUCGUAAGUUGGCUCUAAACAAGCUAGGUGGGAGCUUGGAAAGGAACGGGUCAAACGGAUCAUGGAUGCGAAGAAUGUUUGCGCGAAUGCGAGGAGUGAACGGGAAGUGGAUUAUUGCGUUGCUAUAAAGUAGCGGCUAAUAAAAGAAAGGUACAAAACGGGUCUAUAUGUUGACUCGAGCCAGUUGAAGGACACUCGCAUCUAAAGAUAGCGGAAGUCUAACAAAUUGUUGACUUGACGAAGGGACGGUCCAAAGUACGACAAGUAGAACAUGCUCACCAAGGACCUAAAUCGCGUAACGAUCGCGAACAAGGCUAACGGCAAGAGAAGCCUGACAGGGCAAGCAUUACCAGGUGCACAUUUUUAUAAUUUUAAUUGCACGAAUAGAAAUAUGCAACAAAUACAUAGAAACUGAUAGUUGCAUAUGUAAAUAGAAAAACUUGGAAAAACCUGAAUAGAAUACCUAUUCGGGAUAUUGUUUCCAAGAGAAAUGAAUAGAGGUGUUACUUACAUGGGGCGUGACGUGAAAAUUAUAAAAAGGUCAUGUAUGUCAUGUAUUGAUCGCCUACUCUGGCCAAGUAGGUAGUGAACACAUGAUACCAUGAACUUUUCAUAAUGGACAUGCUUACAUCCGAUGUAAUAAGGACGGGGUAAGUGGGACAAAUUAAAGGUACCCAAAUGAAUCAAAUAAGCAAAAUAUGUGAUCACAAUGUAAACGCACAGCCGAGUGACGGAAGCGUAUUACAUUAAGAUAAUGAGCCUGAGUGAAGGGACAAAGAAACACGUAAGAUAAUCAGACAUGUAUUGGGAAGGGGUGUACUUACACUCGAACCCGGAAAAUGCAAACAUGUAAAAUGAUGUAGACAUGUAUUGGGAAGGGGUGUACUUACACUCGAACCCGGAAAAUGCAAACAUGUAAAAUGAUGUAGACAUGUAUUGGGAAGGGGUGUACUUACACUCGAACCCGGAAAAUGCAAACAUGUAAAAUGAUGUAGACAUGUAUUGGGAAGGGGUGUACUUACACUCGAACCCGAAGAAUACAAAUAUGACUCUUAACGGGCCGAUUUUGUAAAACACCAAAUUUGAGAACGAAGUAGGAAUAUAAAAGUGAAACGAAGUCAUAAUACAUACCGUAAGGGUUGCAAUAAUAACGACUUCGGUAAAACACCCGGUUGGUGGGUAAGGAUUUAAACACAUGCGUAGACUGAGAAACAGGAACGCGAAAUAGAAAGUCAAAAGACUCGGAAUAUGAGUCAUGACUAAAAGAUGAUAAGAAUUUUCGCAAACAUAAAUUUUGGUAAUUACGUUCAACCAUUUCAAAGUUGGAUGGGUCAAAUAAAGAACGAAGUCUGACAUUCAUGGGUGAUGAAAAUUCACCUAAAAUGAGUCAAACGAGUCAAUUAAGGAAAAUGGAGGGGCCAAAAAGGACCUACGGGUCAAUAGUGUAAAGCAAGGGAACAAGUUAUGAUUCCCCGCGUAAAAUGA
rnacentral:lncRNA from 1 species